rnacentral:rRNA from 1 species
CACAUGCAAGUCGAGCGGAAACGAUCCUAGCUUGCUAGGAGGCGUCGAGCGGCGGACGGGUGAGUAACGCAUAGGAAUCUACCCGGUAGUGGGGGAUAACCUGGGGAAACCCAGGCUAAUACCGCAUACGUCCUACGGGAGAAAGCAGGGGCUCUUCGGACCUUGCGCUAUCGGAUGAGCCUAUGUCGGAUUAGCUGGUUGGUGGGGUAACGGCUCACCAAGGCGACGAUCCGUAGCUGGUCUGAGAGGAUGAUCAGCCACAUCGGGACUGAGACACGGCCCGAACUCCUACGGGAGGCAGCAGUGGGGAAUAUUGGACAAUGGGCGAAAGCCUGAUCCAGCCAUGCCGCGUGUGUGAAGAAGGCCCUCGGGUUGUAAAGCACUUUCAGUGAGGAAGAACGCCUGUCGGUUAAUACCCGGCAGGGGAGACAUCACUCACAGAAGAAGCACCGGCUAACUCCGUGCCAGCAGCCGCGGUAAUACGGAGGGUGCGAGCGUUAAUCGGAAUUACUGGGCGUAAAGCGCGCGUAGGCGGCCUGAUAAGCCGGUUGUGAAAGCCCCGGGCUCAACCUGGGAACGGCAUCCGGAACUGUCAGGCUAGAGUGCAGGAGAGGAAGGUAGAAUUCCCGGUGUAGCGGUGAAAUGCGUAGAGAUCGGGAGGAAUACCAGUGGCGAAGGCGGCCUUCUGGACUGACACUGACGCUGAGGUGCGAAAGCGUGGGUAGCAAACAGGAUUAGAUACCCUGGUAGUCCACGCCGUAAACGAUGUCGACUAGCCGUUGGGGUCCUUGAGACCUUUGUGGCGCAGUUAACGCACUAAGUCGACCGCCUGGGGAGUACGGUCGC